CGUGUUGUGAAAUGUUGGGUUAAGUCCCGCAACGAGCGCAACCCUUAUCCUUUGUUGCCAGCGGUUAGGCCGGGAACUCAAAGGAGACUGCCAGUGAUAAACUGGAGGAAGGUGGGGAUGACGUCAAGUCAUCAUGGCCCUUACGAGUAGGGCUACACACGUGCUACAAUGGCAUAUACAAAGAGAAGCGACCUCGCGAGAGCAAGCGGACCUCAUAAAGUAUGUCGUAGUCCGGAUUGGAGUCUGCAACUCGACUCCAUGAAGUCGGAAUCGCUAGUAAUCGUGGAUCAGAAUGCCACGGUGAAUACGUUCCCGGGCCUUGUACACACCGCCCGUCACACCAUGGGAGUGGGUUGCAAAAGAAGUAGGUAGCUUAACCUUCGGGAGGGCGCUUACCACUUUGUGAUUCAUGACUGGGGUGAAGUCGUAACAAGGUAACCGUAGGGGAACCUGCGGUUGGA
rnacentral:rRNA from 1 species